UGCGCAGGCGGCCAAGUGUGUUAGGCGUGAAAGCCCGGGGCUUAACCCCGGAAUUGCACCUAAAACUACAUGGCUAGAGCAUUGGAGAGGGUAGCGGAAUUCACGGUGUAGCAGUGAAAUGCGUAGAUAUCGUGAGGAACACCAGAGGCGAAGGCGGCUACCUGGACAAUUGCUGACGCUCAGGCACGAAAGCGUGGGAGCAAAAG
rnacentral:rRNA from 1 species